CCUUUUCGGACUUUUUUCCAAAAAUUAACAUGGGAGUCAAUGGAGAGGUGAGACCGGAAAAGAUUUCUCGGUAAAUUGACUCAGCCUAAACUACUGGACCGAGAGAUGUCAGAGUGGCAUGUGUGCGUAGGAAACAAACUCUACUUUCACCAGAUGUAAAAAUCAUGUCUGUCGGACUCCGUUUGUGGCUAGGAGAAGUGUUUCAGCACAAAAUGAAGUGGCCGAAAGAUGCCCGUUGAUGCCCUCUCGCUCUUUUGGCCGUUAGACCUUGAGUCCCAUUCGUCGGUUUUGGCCGCGUUUUUCUGUGAGUUUGGAGAGAAUGAUUGGACGGAAUUCUUAGAAAAGUCAUAGCAACACCAUUCGACGUAUUUUCGCAUGUAUUUUUAGAGGUCUGCUGGGGGACGAGAGGGAAAUCAUCGAGUCAAAGUCUCACACGGAGUACCAGGGGCUCCACUCGGAGUACCAGGGGCUCCACACGGAGGACCAGGGGCUCCACUCGGAGUACCAGGGGCUCCACACGGAGG
rnacentral:misc_RNA from 1 species